CCUAAAUAGUCAUGUAAAUUAAUACUAGUAGCAGUAACUCAAGUGGCUACGAGAGAGAUAUAUAUACUACUCCUAAUUAAAGUAUUGGAAGAAAAAAACAUGUAUAUGUUGGAAACCAGAGAGUAUUUUCAUCUCCUUUCUUAAAAAGAUCUUCUUCAAGAUCUUAGCUUCAAUCAGUGUUAUUAUGAUUGCACUAUCAUUAUAAUAGUGAUUGCCAACCAAGAAAUUCCCUGUUAAAUCUCUAGUUAGGCUAUCAUCAUUCCAGCCUCUAUUCCUUGGCUCCAAGAGUGAUUUUUUUUGCGAAAAGGUGCACAUUUGCCCAUGUACUAUCCGAAACUACUUAAUUUUUCCCUUCGUGAUGAUUUUGGCUAAUUCAUACCGUCGCCAACUACGACAUAAAUACCGUCGCAAACAGUAAAGUGGAAAAAGACUAGUUUUGGCAUAUAAGAUUGAGGCGUGGAGGAGAUUUUUCACGGAUACAAGUAGAAAGUUGGCUUUAAAGGUAUGUUAAGGUAUCGAUAAUCAGUUUGACGAGUCCUCAUAGUAGACGAGGUUGGUAUUCAGCGAAGGAUCGGUAAGACUACACCUCAUUCGGAGUGCAGCCGAGUAUAUGAGUCAUUGUGUCAAAGUUUUGCUACAGACUUAUGGGUAGGCCGGUGCCCUGUCCUGUUUGAUGUUUAAUACUCUUAGAGUCUUUGUAGACGGAGGUUCAUUUUGUACAGUAUGUGAGAGGCCUUAACGGCCCAUAUGUAUUCAUGUUUUAAGAACAAUGGUUCAUUAAUACAGUGUUUACCCAUUUAUAGAUAUGCACUACGAGUUGUGGCCA